rnacentral:lncRNA from 1 species
UUUAACCGGACAAUGGCUAGCACAACAUCCAUAAACGAUCAUCUCCUCAUCAAAAAUCUCCUUCUAAACCCGUCUUACCCUGUGGAAGUAAUCUCACGGUCUAGAAUGGCGGUGAAUACUAGGAACACAAUUGGUGUCGUUAUCCUCCUGGUCGUGAUGGCAGCAGCGGUAUCAACACCAGUGGCAACUGCCGAAGAGUUUUGUUGGGACAAAUGUAUCAAGCGCUGCAAGGGAGAACUAGAGGUUUGCAGCCCAAAGUGCAUUCAUUUUUGCAACUAUCAAUCCGGAGCCGUAGGAUAUGUUAAGUGGGCUGCCGAUAAACUGAAGGAGGCCGCUGCUGCCCCGCCCCAAAAGGCCGUCCUCCUCAAGAAUGAAGCUCAAACGUACUUAGAACGUGCCAAUGCCCUCAACGAGAAAGCCGGGACACCGUGAGUGUGCACCCUUCCAUCUAUAGGUGUCGCUGUUGUUAUGGUGUCUAUAAAUGUUUUGUUUAUUUAAAUUGUCGUGGUUGCAUCCCAUUUUUUUGUUUCUUUGUUAAAGUAAUAUCUUUUGUAUUAUGACGACAAGCUUGUUACAGCGACUCAGUUACUCUUGUCGACUUUACUUAUGUAUAAUGAUUUUCAUUUGAUUUGUCUAUGUAAUAAUGAAGUUCCUUCAUAUGGAAAUGUUCCUUUUUAAUGCCCACAAUGCAUAUUCUCCUAUUUUAUCUCCAUGAAAGAAGGAUUGGGAUCUUUAGGAUGUGUAAAACAAUCCAUCUACAUUCAAGACCAAUAAGGCAUGCAUAUUCUAGAGAAACAUCCGUGUAAGUGCUUGUGCAUUUUUUAGAAAAUGUUCAUAUAUAUGUAAAAGACUAACCUUGACAUUCACAUGUUUUCUUAAAAAAUCAUGUAAGUGUUUUGCGCAUUCUAAAAGAAGAAUUGGAAAACACCAGGAAACCACAUAAAUUAGACCUUUUUCCUAGGAAAUAUAUGGCGGAAAAACCAACCAGCCGAAAUAACGGUGGGGAAAAAAUUAAAAAAAAUUGGGCAUCUAUAAUUUCCCACGGCCACCGAGGCAAUCGCACUUAUUCUUGUCAUUGUGAAAUUAUCGAUACAACUUUGUUGAUUAUUUGUUUGUUCCUCUUUAAGAAAAUCAUGUAUUCGCAACAUUUUUAUGUCAUCCAUCCCUAUCCUGUCAUCUCCCUAUUACAAGACAGGGCUCCUAAUUAAGGUGUAGGACUCCUUAGGGCUCCUCGUCCGUCCUUCACACCAUGUAUCAUGUAAACAUAUGACCGUCGUCGGUUGUUAACGUUGCUUUACCAUCCUUGGAGUACAUAAGGUAAAACACUGCACUUCACCUUUUGGUCUCGGUGAGAAGGAGUUUGCAUGGAAGAAUAAGGCCUGACAUCGACACUCGGAACCUACGGUUUCCUUGGCCACCGUCUCCUUGGGCUUGGUGAGGCCAUGGCCAUGCCGACAUCGCUAGUGAAGAUAAGACAUAAAUCCAAGUCCAAGUCACGAUGGUGCCAACAAGACAUCAGCCACAUCCUCGGCAUCUACUUUGGCGUCGUCGAUGUCCCGGACACCAUGUAUACGGGUCACCUAAUCUCAAUCUCGUGUGCUUAAUAAGUAAGUAAUUACUACGAUAGUUUCCAAGAUCCUUGAAUUUUUUACUUCUGCAAAAGUAAAUAUUGUAUUAUUUUCAGUGACAUUAUCCAUCUAGAAAGGCAUCCCCAAACCACUAGCUCUAGCAAUAUAGCUAAGUCCUUUUUUAAUGAACUCCUUAGGAACUCCCCACAAUUUUCUAAAAUUGGCAUUUUUCUUUUUUCCCAUUUUUUUCUUACAAACCUGAUGAAAAGGUAGGGGCAUAUGCAUGUCAUGUUGUAAGUCAUGCAUGUUGAUCUGGGCAGACGGUAGCCAUUCCUCCUUGUUAUUACACAAGCACAUAUUGGUGACAAGUGAUUGGCUAGAAAGAUUUAUUUUCCAUGGUAGAAGUAAAUGUUAUGAGGAAUGCAUACACCGGGUCAUUCCUGAUAAAAUUCUACUCCCUCCAUCCCUAAAUAUAAGACCUUUUAGAGGUUCCACUAUGAACAACAUACGGAUGUAUGUAGUCAUAUUUUAAAGUAUAGAUUCACUCAUUUUGCUCCAUAUCUAGUCUAUAGUGAAAUCUCCAAAAGGUAUUAUAUUUAGGAACGGAGGGAGUAAUGAUCUAUUUAUGACACGGCCAUACAUCAUGGAGGACCAUCUGUAUUUUCCUUUUGAAAAUCAUCUGAAUACAAGUAGUGAUUGUUCGAUUGUAUCUUGCAUGCAUGUGUUGCAAAAGGGCAUGACUUGGAUUAUACAUGCACAAUUCAACGGGACAAUAAAGAGACCAACAAAAUCUCUAGUAGUAAUAUAUGUGUUUUGAAUAGCAUGGCACAGGCUGGGCUACAGGGGAAUGGUCAUAAUACAUAUGUAUGGGGGGAGGAUUCCUCUCUAAUACCAGUAGCUUGAAAAUUUUGUUUCACUGUCAGAUCAAUAGGUGUCUUCCGCUUUGUGGCGUAACUUGUGGCUGAAGUUCAGUGAGCCAAAUGAACUUACAUACCUGUCUCAUGUUAGUGAACCUUCUCUCCGCGAAAGAAUAUGAUAGUAUAUAGCUAUAUGCUUCAAGUGUUUCGAUUUUUCACCAGCCAAUAAUAUGGUUCUUUAAUAUCUGUUACGAGGCACUAUAAGAGUGCAUGCCUAUACCCGAUACGUUUUUUAAGGGCAUAAGCAAAAUGUAUCGUAUAAUUAACUCAUUUCCUCUUAGAGGUGUUACCCAAGGGAUUUUGUUUCAAAUUUGAACUAAAUCUUCAAAUGUUUCCUAAUCCUAAUCGAAAAUCGUCAAUUUCAAACAAUUCAUCCAAAACUUUGAAAAAUUGUUUUUCUUUAGGCCGGAGUGCCGCCGCCCCCUAGUUCUCGCGACGACUUCACCAAAUCGCAUGUUGCCGCUACGUCUCCCUUUUGGGUCGUAGUGGCGUGAGGCGCGCUCCCCACGACACACAAGCCACCGCUACAACGCCCCUCCGGGAUGUAGUGCUGCGACACGCGGUUCUCGCUCCCAUCCGAGGUCUUUCUGCCGUCGCCCCGACCUGCUCGCCGCCCCGAGGUCUUCCCCCCGUCACCCCAACCCGCACGUUGCCGCCUCGGGAUGUAGUGUCGCGACGCGCGGUCCACUCUGUAGUGCCCUACUCGUUGACUUCAUGUGGUAUGCGCCUGUCGGAUUUCGGGCUCCGCAAUACCCUAAGGAUUCGAACAUUGGGGCGUGUAUGAAGAUCUCUCCCUGCUUAGCCUCGCCUAACCACUACUCGAUGGAAACAACGAGGGACUCACUUGAUGGCGACGGUAGCAUAGAACACAAUAGCUUACGGUAGCACAGAACACAACAGUUUACCCAGUUUCGGGAAGCUGCGAAACGUAAACCCCUACUCCUUCUUUUGGUUGAUUGCCUCUCGUGGAGGUGGUGGAUGAAUUGGUACAGUGCUCUCGAGCCUCCGGAGGCCAAGUGGCUAGGUGUAUUACCCUACGGUUCUAAUGAACUCUCCCCUACCAAGUGUUCUACCCUCUCAAUUUAUAGCGGAGGCCCGGGUCCUCUGCUCUCGUAGCUUCGACGGGAAGGGAUCCCAUAGUGGCCAAUUUUGAAGGGGAACACGGGAACAUGCCCCCUUCCGAAAGGUGGUCAUCGCCUGCAAAGUAACUAUCCGCGCUGCAGGGACUGGCCCGAGGAUGAUUUUUGCACUACUAGCGUGCGGCUGCGGCUUCGUUGCACCAGAAGGGAAAACUUUGGAAGAUGCCUUUGGAACCCUUGUACGCUUCCGCCUCCUUCCACUUCUGUUGCUUUCCUGUCCUUUCGUGGCGUCACCCUUACCUUGCCUCGGAAUAUCCGCCGCUCUGGAGGGGUCCUGAGGAGACCCCUGCGGGUCUUGACGCUGCUCCUCCUCAUUAGGCUUGGCCCCUCACGAGGGCCAUACCUUGAAUGGUGCCCUGCCCGUUGGUUUAUUCUGAUGAGGUGGGCCCGCCUUGGGCAAUAGGCAGGCACGUCUGGUACGCCCAUUCCCAAAACGCCGACAGUAGCCCUUGGGCCCGCAGAGUGCUCGGGUUGGCGUCGGGGUGGAGCCUAGGGGGGCAGCAUGAGGCGCCCUGGGCCCUCAAAUGCCUCUAGGCCAGGCCGGCACAUGUCACGCGGCUGGUGUCGGGUCCUCCGUGUUCUCUGUCUCUGCCCCCCUUAUUAGGUGCCUUGCUUGUAGCUUCGGUGCCUCACUGCUUUCCUUCUUCCAUACUCGCCCUUCCUCUUUGGUCUCGGACUCCAACCGGCACCUCCCAGAUCCAGCGCCGCAUAGUUCCUUGCCUGUUCAACAAUGGCACCCGCCAGCAAGCAAAAAACCAAAGGGGCAUGGUCCGGCCCCGGCUUCUCUGCUCCUGGUAUGCGCCCUCUCGAAGGACAAGAAUCUCGUCCUCGUGCUUCCAUGGACCACGACCGAGUCUAGUGAGCAUGGGCGAACCCUGAACUGGCCUGGCGCCAUAGAGGAGCGACCCGCGUCCCGGGCGAUAUACCCCUUCUUCACGGUAAUUACGCUGGGCUGGUGCCACUUUUCUCCCGGUUCUAAACCAUUGUCUUCGACCACUAUGGGAUCCAAGCCCUUCAUCUCCAGCCCAACUCCAGGUUGCUUUUGUCUGUAUUUGCUUUCUACUUCGAGGCUUUCGUUGGUUCUAGCCUUCGGUUGCCCUCCUCCGCCACUUCUUCAACUUGCGCCUGCACAAUGGCGCUCAUUUGUCGGCGUGUGUCUCCUUUGUGGCGGCCCAGAGUGGCCCUCAGGCUCCUCAAGCAUCAUUGCUCGCGAUCGUUGAGCAGUCUUCGGGGCCCCCGUGUUCUUCACAGCACUGCCCUCUGGCGUCACCACACAUGCGUGCGCUGGACNNNNNNNNNNNNNNNNNNNNNNNNNNNNNNNNNNNNNNNNNNNNNNNNNNAGGAGGAGGUCCAGAAGACCUCGGUGUUCACCCAAGGUAUAUUGAACGCGGCCUUCACCGCCUUGAGCAAUGUCGCCAACGAAAUGGGUAAGGCCGAGAGGGAGGCCGAGGCCGCCAGUGCCUUGCAUGAGAAAGCACUGAAGGAGGCUAAGGCGGCUGUCGAACGCUGUGAAGAGGUGGAAACCCGCCUCAACUUCCUUGAAGGAGGACUACCCAAGCUAGCCGAGCAGCAUCGCGUGCACAGGGAGGAGCUUAAAUCCCGCGAGACCAUGCUCGCCGCCCGGGAGGGAGAGCUAUCCCAGGAGGCGAGCAUCCUGAGCAUGAAGGAGGCGUGCUUGCAAGAGCAGGAGAAGGAGGCCGCCUCAAGGAAGGCCAACCUUGACGCCCAGGAGAAAGCUCUCGUCGGGUGUGAGGAGACGGAAACCGCGGAGCUGGCCUCCUUCCCUAACGUUGAGCUCAGGCUUCGCACGGCGCUCCCAUCCCUUUGCCGGGACGAGUUCGAUGAACCUCUGGCCACCCCGGAGGAUGUCUUUGCCACGCUCGUGAAGGGGCUCGUAACGGCGCUGAAGAUUGCCGUCGUGCAGGUGGACAAGAUCUUGGACAUCGAGUGCCGCGACCUCUUCUUCGGGCUGCGAGUCGCGUCUUCAGCCACCUCUUCACGACCCCGGAUUCGAUCUAAGCUUCGUGGAGGGGGCGACCGCCGGCGGCUCCUCCUGAUUUCUUGUCCCCGUUAUUUUCCUGCAAUGCACAUCAUGCCUCGCGGAGGCGUUGAACAUAUUUGCGUUUUUAUGAACUUGGUCACGGUUUGUAAUAAUUGAAAGCUUGAAUGUUUUCCUCGCCUUGUGUCACACCCUGUUUUUACUACCACUUCUCUGUAAUGCAAAAAUCUGAGCUUGUUAAAACUUUUUCAAAACUAAUGAUGUGAGUCCCAUGAUUGUCAUUGUAUGCUUGUGUGUUUGAUCAUGUGAUGAAAAACCCCAUUUCACAAUAGUGAUUUAUUUCCAAAAAACCUUUACAUGUUUCUGAUUAAGGUAAAACCCUACUUUGAGUUGCACUACAUGCCCUUGAUGGCAAAAAGUGUUUCUGAUUUUAACUUCAUUUUAGUGCCUUAAAACCACAAAAUAAUUAUUUUUAGAAUUAGUUUCCUCAUUAAAAGCAUGUCCAUUUCUGAGGCCGGAAUUGGUAUUCCUACAUGGAAAAAUACUUUUCUGCAUUAGUGAAAUCUGAAUAAAUUUGGAGAUGAUCAGAAGGACAUAUAUUUUCCAUACAUCAGAUUUUAAACCCUAUUUUAUAUUAUAAUUAUUUGAAUAAAAACCUGGAAGCCAUUUCUGUCUAUUUUGACCUUCUGAAAUGUUUCCAAAGGAAAUAUUCUCAAUAAACUCCUAGAAAAUUCCAGUAGUCUCCCUAAGCCAUAUUUGGUGUCCACAUAAAGUUUCACCUUGGUCCAAGGUGACUAAGGACCCCAAAUAGCCCCAAAACCCCUUCUGUCCAGAUUGAAGUUAGAGCAACUCUACAUAGCAAUGUUUAUCCAAUGAAGCUGAAACUUUGCAGGAGUGCCUAAUACCUCAAAUGAGGGUUCCACACCAAAAAUGGGAUUUGUGGGAUUUAUUUUUCCCACACUCUCUUUGGAAGGGACAGAUCUGGUCAAAUUGAAGUGUUUUCAAGUUUAUAAAGCUAAACUUGUCCAAUGGAGCUCAAACUUGGUGAAACCCCAUGUUUUACCACCAAGCCCCAAACUUGUUAAGGUGCAGCACCAGUGGUGGGGUGCAACCCCCUCAAACUCAUAUAUUAGGUGGACAAUAUCCAUAUCUAACCCAGUCAACUAGCCCCUCACUGGUUCAAAGUGGAAAGGCCAAAACCUCCAAUUUAGGCUUUAGCUCAAGGCUGACAGCACUAGCAUUUCUUGUCUCCUUUGACCAGCCAAAGCUCCCACGAGACCCAAACGGCUAGCCACACUCCCAGCCAGUGCCAGGACAUGCUAGACACGUCGAAAGUGCCUCAGAGGACACCAGCAUGCCGUGGCAUGCCAAAACUGUGCUCUGAGCGCGCUACAAUCAGCUACCAACGUGGGGGAGACGCUCUCGGCCAGUUCCAACCUUCCCCGAGGUGUCCAACCUCUUCCCAGACAACCCCUCUGCAUCGAGCAACUCUCAAGGCCCCUCCUCCCCCGCAUUAGAGCUCGUGCGACGCGUGCCCGCGGCACCAGCACCGGCCAAGGUUGCGCGGCCACGGAUUCUCGACUCGUCCCUCUCUCCCUCUGCCGGAGAUGGUUCUGGCAGUCCAAAAUCAUGUCCUAAUACCGUGGUUUCGACCCCAGCCCCUCUCUGCACCCCCAUGCGCACCACGGUGAGUUACCGACGCUCCCGAAUAACCUCACCAUCACGGGUCUAUAAAUAGUCCUCCCCCACGCUCCUGCACCCCUCAGAUAGCCUCACCACUACCACUAGCACCUCCCUAGCCACCACAGCAACCAGCGGAGCCCCGGUGCUCGAGAUUGACCGAGGCCCCUCCGCCUCGGAGCUCCGAUUGAUCUCCAGCUACACGAUGACUCCUGCUCCCCUCGACCCACCAAACUGAUCCCCUCAACCCCAGGAAGCUUUCCCCCAACUCGCACGGCCAUUUCCGUGUACCCCAGGAAGCUUUCCCCCAACUCGCACGGCCAUUUCCGUGUAUCUAGCCACCUCCUCGACCACCUCCCAAAACUCCUCUGUAACGGCCUCCUCGUCGCCGGUGAACCCCUGCCUCUCCGACGUUGUUCCGACCACCAGCAGGUAGGCGACGUCAUGGCGAACCCAUUCCAGUCCUUGUUGGGGCCUGAGAGCAUCGACAGCCUCGCCAACAAGCUCCUCCUCCUCUCUGCCAGAGGUAGGAGACGACCCCGACAGGUGUGCCGCACCUAUCGGUGGCCCAGCCUCCUCCCCAGCGUUGUCCACAGCCACUGACGUUAGGUUCAAAGAGUUUUAUAAAAAUAUUUAGCCAGUGUAAAAAUAUAAUUUUUCCACUGUUAUUCUUCAAAAAAUAUGUAGUAUUUAACAAUAUGAUUGGAUGAAUUUUGCUACAACUAUUCUGUUUUACAAUAAUAAAAAGGACUAAAUUGGAAUAGUUUUGAUUCUGUUUGGUUAAUUUUAAAAAUGUUACUUCAAGAGAAUUUGAGGCAAAUAAUUUUCAAAAUGACAACUUAGAUUUAUCAGUAAUGAAGAACAUUUUUUAAAAUGACUUUGUGAUAUGUUUCUGUGUGAGCUAUUUCUUAUUGACUGUUUUAUCGACGAUAGAAAAUCCGGGUGACGAGGGAAUCGGAGCAGAAGACCUCGAAGACCCCGGAUACCUAGCUGACCAAGGCAAGCAGCCCUUUGACCAUGACUGAGCAUAUGUUACUUUGCAUGUUAAGAUAGCAAGUAUUUCCGUUGCAUAUGAUCAUAAGUGUCGGUAAUCAUUUGAUAUGAUUUUACCGAUGGCUCCCCCGGAGCACAUGCAUUGAGCUUGAUCUUACCCCUUGAGGGUCAUGCUAAUAUCGUAUUGACAAGUAAAGUUAGAAGUAGUAUUAUCAUGAGCAUAUUGAUGACAUAAACCAAAGAGUUUAUGAAAACCCCGUCAGGUGCCACUAAUGCCCGAGGGUGACGAUGAGUUAGAUGUCCACUUUUGGUGAAGUGGUGCACCGGGUACUUUGAGUGAGUAUAGUUUCAGAAAUGGGAUUAGAUUUAUGAUGUGUUGACCGUCCCAACCUUACCAGUAUGACCACGUUACCCCUUAUGGGAUGGGGCUAUGUUAAUUACUCUAGUUGUUGCUGGCAAAGAGCCACAUUACUAGUGGCAGGAGUGAUGUGUGGUCACUCUCGUGAUGUGGUCGUGCCAGGUAGGACGACUAUGCCAUUUUUAUGAGUUCCAGUCACAGCGCUGGUCCCCACACGGUUGCUACUGUCCAGAUUCGGUGCUAGUAAGACAGACAACAUGUGUGCUGGGUACCAAUUGAGUGGACCUCUUUGUCUAAUAUCGUCAAGGGAAAGGCCUUGAUCGGGUACUUACGUCAGGUAUGUUAUAUACCGCGAGUCGUGGAUGACACGGAUGUUUCCCGGAUCUCGUGGGUCCAGCGUACUACCUCUGUAGAGUGUAAAACUAUUUGAAUAGCCGUGUCCACGAUCAAGGACAGUUGGGUAAUCCUGCUUAAACUACGUCCAGCUGUUUCCGCAUAAACCAAGUGUGUGUGUUGUGUUAAAAAUGUGUUGUUAUGAAAGUAAUGAUAUGACCAAGUUUGGUGACUUGGCAUAUAGGGUGAGCACGGAUGGCUCAUCCCUCGACAGAUAUAUUGAUAUCUGUAACCUGUUCUUCAAAAGUAAUUCUUUAACUUGAUGCAUAUUCAUGAUAAUUCCACCCCGAUGAAAUCCACCAAAGAUGCGUGAUAUUGUUUAUCCUUCACUUUCAUUGUUCAUAACAUGGGCUGUUUGCGAGUACAUUCAAAGUACUCAUUGGCUUGUCACUAGUUAUGUUAUUGACUAGACAUGGAGGGACUAGAGUUUGGAGCACAGUACGUCUUUGGAGACGCCCGUGCGAACUAGCAUGUUUCCUCUGCUUCUGAUGAGGUGCUUUCCUGUGCUUUUGCGUGAUAGCCUCGACAAGUGUCAAGUACGCCGCACGCCCAUCUUCCUCUACCACGAGCACUGGGUCAACACCGACACUAAGGAAUAUCACGUGGACGUGAUAGAGAAGGCUAAUGACUCCCUGACUAGUUGGUUCUUUGAAGAUCCACAGAUGGAAUAUCUGAUGUUGGUAGUGGAGACCGCAACACGAGAGGCGCUCAUGCGAAUCCGGGACAUCCUUCUCGAGAUGGCUGAUGCGCCAUCUACUCGUGACCUACCUUUUGUUAAGGAUUGGGUAGACGGGAGAUGGACACUCAACCCAUCUUCCAAGGACGGGACGCCACUGAGGUUUCAGACCUACUUCAGUCUCUCCUCCAACACUUUGACACACCUUUUGAUCAAGGAGUCAACUAGGAUCCGCCAAGAGCGGCACCAAGUCAAGGAUCUGCUUCGCACGGAGAAGAUGAAGAACAGCAAGGUGAAGAAGGAAGGAGCACCCAUAGGACCACCAGAUUUUGCUUUCUAAGGAGGCCAUUCCUCUACAGAGUCGUCACUUGACUGCGGAAGAGUACACCGAACUCUUCGCUACCUCGCCAACCAAGAGACGCCGUGAUGGUCCACUUCCUUCUCCUACUCCAUCAAAGAAGGGAAUCACUCAUGAAGAUGAAGAUGAAGAUGAAGAUGAAGACGAAGAUCUCGCAAAACCCGCUUAUGAGACCGCGCGGUCGGCCGCUUAGCUUUAGCAGCGUACGCAAUUAGGAUGUACCCCCGAGCAUAGGAGUUCUUGUAUCGGUUUGUACGAACCACGAGUGUUGUGUAAGCCUGUUGGAUGCAAGUCGCAUUCUGGCUUAGGCAGCUUGUGAGCGAUUACAUUGCUUGUUUUUAAUAUAAUGAAGUAGCUCUUUUCAAAAUCAUUGGCUUAAAUUUUUUACACUAGCACAACACCAGACCCCCUCUUUACCAGAGCAUCAUCCCUUAUGAUUUCAGCAAGUUCAGCACAUUGACCUGUCUACUCCCCUGACAGGAUGGUGAAUGCAACUCGCAACAGCACCUUCGGCAACCCCAGCUCUGCCUCUUCAGGUCAGCAGCAAGGAACCGUAGGGGAAGGUCAAGCUGGAGAUCACCACGCGCAGCAAGACGAUGUUCCACCGCUGUCGCCUCCUCCUGAAAGCUUGACCAUGGAUCAGUCCCUUCAAGCUCUUUCACAGGAGGGUCAAGCCAACAAUGCCGCUAUUCAGCAGCUGGCUAAAACCUUGAUGAACAACCCACCACAGAACGGGAAUGGCAAUGGUGGCUCAACUCUCUCCGAGUUCAUGCGAACUACGCCACCCAUAUUCACGGAGACAACUGAACCAUUGGAUGCCGAUCACUUGAUCUGUACUAUCGAAGACCUCCUCGCGCUGGUCAAGUGCACUGAUGAUCGUGAGAAAGUUCUCUAUGCUUCUCACGGUCUCGGAGGCACAGCCAGAGCUUGGUUGUAUGGAUUCCUUGCUGUGUUCAAAGAUGGAUUCCUUGCUGCUCACAUUCCUCCCGGAAUGAUGACCUUUAAGAACCGGGAAUUCGCAGCCUUAAGGCAAGGCAGUGGAUCCGUCAAGGAAUAUUUGCAGAAGUUUAACCUCCUAUCACGAUUCGCACCUGAGGACGUCAACACUGAGGCCUCCAAAGUGGAAUGCUUUAUGGAACGACUACACCAACACUCCAGUAUCAGCUGGUUGUUUGUGAAUGCUGGACCUUCAACGAUCUGGUUAAUAAGGCCCUUAUGUUGGAAGACAAGCGUCAUGCCACGGACGACACCCGUAAAGUCAAGCUAAUGGGUAGUGGAGGACCAAGUAACACGAAGCCACAACCAUGGCAGCCAGCUCCAGCAAGACCCAACUAUCAGUAGCACUACAAGUAUCCAACAUUUCGCCAGAACUACCAGCCUCAGCAGCAGGUCAACACCAAGCCNNNNCUCCCAGCCUCACCAGGAAGUCAACACCAAGCGAGCAAGCAAUCCGCCAAACAACGGUGGAAUCAAGGCCAAUCUUCCAGUACAAGUUACCUGUUUCGGAUGUGGACAAACAUGGCACUAUUCCAGGCAGUGCCCCAACAAGAAACCCGAUGCUUAGUGCCCCAAUGCGCCAAAUCCAGGCCAAGGAGCACCAGUCAGGAAUUAGGCUCCCGCAAUCAGCAGUAUCACAUCAAGGGGCGGAUUAAUCAUAUUUCCGCAGAAGAGGCACAAGAAGACCCGGACUGCAUUCUGGGUACGUUCCUCGUCAACUCUACCCCAGCAAAAAUAUUGUUUGAUUGUGGUGUUUUGCAUUCUUUUGUUACGCAAAAGAUUGCGGAAAAAUGUGGUUUACAACCCACCUUGCUUCAUGGGCAUAUGGCAAUUCAAACCCCGGGAGCAGUUUUGAGUACCAACCUAGGGUGUAGGAAGGUCGGGAUAGUUAUCAAUGGGACGAGCUUCUCAGCGGAUCUCAUUGUGCUUAAGUCGCAAGGCCUAGAAGUAAUUCUCGGCAUGGAUUGGUUGGUCAAGCAUCAAAGUAUCUUGGACUGUGCUAACAGGGCCAUUACCAUGACAAGUGACCAAGGUGUGAAAGUCAAGUAUGUCUCUGAGCCAGUACCCACUCAAGUACCACGGGUUAACAGCCUGUCAGAGGAAGAACUCGAUCGAGUGCCAAUAGUGUGUGAAUACCCGGACAUCUUUCCUGAUGAGCUACUAGGGAUGCCUCCUGACCGAGACAUCGACUUCAUCAUUGAACUCAUGCCCGGAUCAAGUCCUAUCUAUAAGAAGCCUACAGGAUGUGAUCCGAAGAGCUAGCGGAGUUGAAGAAGCAGCAGGAUGAGCAACUCAGGAAAGGAUUUAUACGUCCAAGUGCGUGACCUUGGGGAUCACCUGUUCUUUUCGUGUCCAAGAAGGAUGGGACUAUCCGACUCUAUGUCGAUUACCGUUCUCUCAAUGAGGUGACAAUUAAGAACAAGUUCCCACUCCCCAAGAUUGAAGACUUAUUCGAUCAGCUAAAUGGAGCUAAGGUAUUCUCCAAGAUAGAUCUCCGAUCUGGAUAUUACCAACUGAAGAUCCGACCUGAGGACAUACCUAAGACUGCGUUCAUGACCCGGUACGGUAUGUAUGAAUGCACCGUCAUGUCUUUUGGGUUGACUAAUGCCCCAACUUACUUCAUGUACCUCAUGAAUAUGGUCUUCAUGGAAUACCUGGACAAGUUUGUCGUCGUAUUCAUUGAUGACAUAUUAAUCUUUUCCAAGUCUGAAGAAGAGCAUGAGCAACACUUGAGGUUAGUAUUAGUGAAGCUUCGAGAGCACCAACUUCAUGCCAAGUUCAGCAAAUGCCAAUUUUGGUUGAACGAAGUUGGAUUCUUGGGUCAUACAAUGACCGCAUGUGGAUUGGCAGUUGAUCCCUCCAAGAUUACUACGGUAACCAACUGUGAAUCACCGAUUGAUGUGAAGGAAGUUAGGAGCUUCCUCGGACUCGUGGGAUAUUACCGCAAGUUUGUAGAAGAAUUCUCCCGCAUCGCUCGACCCAUGACUCAUCUCUUGAAGAAAGUCAAGAAGUUCAAAUGGACGCUGGAGUGUGAAGCCAGCUUCCAAGAAUUGAAGGAGAGAUUAACCACCGCCCCGGUAUUGGCCACUCGAGAUAUCAGCAAGGAGUUUGUGAUAUAUUGUGAUGCCUCGAGGACCAGACUUGAUGGGGUUCUAAUGCAGAAUUGCGGAGUCGUGGUGUAUUUGUCCCGACAACUGCGCCUGCAUGAGGAGAACUAUGCCACCCAUGAUCUCGAGUUGGCAGCCGUAGUGCAUGCCCUGAAACACAUGGCGACAUUACCUUUUGGGGAAGCGAUGUGAAAUAUACACUGACCACAAAAGUCUGAAGUAUAUCUUCACUCAAAGGGAAUUGAAUAUGAGUCAACGAAGAUGGUUGGAGUUAAUCGAAGACUACGACCUUAGCAUUCAAUAUCACCACGGUAAGGCCAAUGUAGUGGCCGAUGCCUUAAGCCGGAAGACCAGCACCUUGAACGUCAUGCUCAAGGAAAGGCAACCCGCCUUAUAUGAAGAAUUGGAGAACUUCGGGUUGGAACUACUAGAAUUAGGAUUCCUAGAUAACCUCGAAGUCAAAUCAACGCUGGUUGACGACAUUAAGGAGGCCCAGAAGGGUCAUAAGAGCAUUGAAGGCAUCAGGAAGAAGAUUCAAGAAGGCAAGGCCCCAGGAUUCUCGGUGGAUGAACAAGGAGUUGUGUGGUUUGGGCAAUGUUUAUGUGUACCCAACAAGGAUAAACUCAAGGAUUUGAUCCUACAGGAAGCACAUGAUACACCCUACUCUAUUCACUCUGGUGGUACCAAGAUGUAUCAAGAUCUCCAAGAAUGAUUCUGGUGGCAUGGCAUGAAGAGGGAAAUAGCGUCCUAUGUUUCCAAGUGAGACGUGUGCCAACAAGUCAAGGCUGAGCAUCAGCGACCUGCAGGACUGCUACAACCUCUCAAAGUGCCAGAAUGGAAGUGGGACAAGAUAGUCAUGGACUUUAUUACCGGCUUACCAAGGUCUAGCAGAGGCCAUGACUCUAUAUGAGUUAUUGUCGACCAUUUGACCAAAGUGGCCCAUUUCAUUCCUCUCAACACCACAUAUGAUGGGAACAAGUUGGCUAAUCUCUAUAUUGAGAGUAUUGUAAGCCUUCAUGGAGUUCCCAAGGAGAUUGUAUCUGACCGAGGCACGUAGUUCACCUCAAGAUUUUGGAAAAAGUUCCAAGAAGCCCUCAGAACCAAGCAGUCUUUGAGAACCGCUUUGCACCCACAAACGGGCGGACAAACGGAAAUAGUGAAUCAGAUACUCGAAGGUAUGCUCUACGCACGAGUCUUGGUGCAUGGAGCCAAAUGGGAAUACUGUCUGCCGUUUGCCGAGUUUUCAUACAACAACAGCUACCAGUCCAUUCUCCAAAUGGCCCCAUUCGAAGUGUUGUACAGACAAAAGUGUCGCAUCCCGCUCAAUUGGUUCGAAACCGGAGAAGGACUUAUUUUUGGGCCGGAAGUUUUGCAUAAGGCAGAAGAGAAUCUAAAAGCAGCCAAGUCACGACAAAAGAGCUAUGCGGAUUCUCGCCGCAGGGAUGUGGAGUUCAUUCCCGGAGACCUGGUGUACCUCCAUGUCACACCUCUCAAGGGAACAAGUGUUUCCACGUUAAAGGGAAACUCGCUCCAAGGUUCAUUGGACCUUUUAAGAUCACGACAAGGCAUGGAGAAGUUGCUUAACAGUUGGAGCUACCUCCGGAACUUUUGGGUGUGCACAACGUCUUCCACGUGUCACAACUUUGGAAGUGUCUUCAAGCACCAAAUUGUCCCGAUCUUUACAAGGACAUUGACCACCAGGCCAUUGACCUUCAGCCUGAUCUUACCUACCGCGAGAAGCCGGUCCACAUUUUGGAUGAAGUUGAGCAUUGCACCAGAAGCCGCGCCAUCAAGUAUUCCAAGAUUCAGUGGAGCAACCACACCGAAGCCGAAGCAACAUGGGAGCGUGAAGACAAUCUCCGGUCUGAGUUUCCGGACAUUUUUAGCACCUAGCUUAGGAAUCUCGGGGACGAGAUUCUUGUAAGGGGAUAGGUCUAUCACACCCUGUUUUUACUACCACUUUUGUGUAAUGCAAAAAUCUGACCUUGUUAAAACUUUUUCAAAACUAAUGAUGUGAGGGCCAUGAUUGUCAUUGUAUGCUUGUGUGUUUGAUCAUGUGAUGAAAAACCCCAUUUCACAAUAUUGAUUUAUUUCCAAAAACCUUUACAUGUUUUUGAUUAAGGUAAAACCCUACUUUGAGUUGCACUACAUGCCCUUGAUGGCAAGAAUUGUUUCUACCCAAAGUUGGUGAUCUGAUUUUAACUUCAUUUUACUGCCUUAAAACCACAAAAUAAUUAUUUUUAGAAUUAUUUUCCUAAUGAAAUUGCAUGUACAUUUCUGAGGCCAGAAUUGGUAUUCCUACUUGGAAUAAUACUUUUCUGCCUUAGAAAAAUCUGAUUAAAUUUGGAGAUGAUCACUUGGACAUAUCUUUCCAUACAUAUUAUAAUUAUUCGAAUAGAACCCUGGAAGCCAUUUCUGUCAAUUUUGACCUUUUGAAAUAUUUCCAAAGGAAAUAUUAUCAAUAAAAUCCUAGAAAACUCCAGUAGUAUCCCUAAGCCAUAUUUGAUGUCCACAUAAAGUUUCACCUUGGUCCAAGGUGAUUAAGGACCCCAAAUGACCCCAAAACCCCUUCUGUCCAGAUUGAAGUUAGAGCAACUCGACAUAGACAAGUUUAUCCAAUGAUGUUGAAACUUUGCAGCAGUGCCUAAUACCUCAAAUGAGGGUUCCACACCAAAAAAGAGAUUUGUGGGACUUAGUUCGCCCACACUCUCUUUGGAAGGGACAAAUCCGGUCAAAUUGAAGUGUUUUCAAGUUUGCAAAGCUAAACUUUUCCAAUGGCGCUCAAAAUUUAUGAAACCCCAUGUUUUAGCACCAAACCCAAACCUGUUAAGUUGCAGCACAAGUGGUGGGGUGCAACCCCCUCAAACCACUGUCGGGCACCUUCUGACAAAUAGGGAAAAGCCACCUUAGCGAGAGCUAAACCCAACCCCUUUGCUCCAUACUCAUAGAUUAGGUGGUCAGUAUCCAUAUCUAACCCCAGUCAACUAGACCCAAACGGCGAGCCACACUCCCAGCCAGUGCCAGGACAUGCUAGAUACAUCCAAAGUGCCUCAGAGCACACCAGCAUACUGUGGCAUGCAAAAACUGCGCUCUGGGCGCGCUACUGGAAGCCACCAAGGUGGGGGCGACGCUCUCGGCCAGUUCGAGCCUCCCCCGAGGUGCCCAACCUCUUCCCCGACAACCCCUCUGCAUCGAGCAACCCUCAGGGCCCCUUCUCCCCCGUGUUAGAGCUCGUGCGACGCUGCCGGCGUGCACCAGUACCGGCCAACGUUGCGCGGCCACGGAUGCUCGACUCCUCCCUCUCUCCCUCUGCAGCAGAUGGUUCUGGCAGUCCAAAACCAUGUCCUGAGACCGAGGUUUCAACCCCAGCCCCUCUCUGCACCCCCAUGCGCGCCAUGGUGAUUCACCGGCGCUCCCGAAUUGGCUCACCGUCGUGGGCCUAUAAAUAUCCCCCCUCACUCCUACGCCCCUCACAUAGCUUCACCACGACCACUAGCACCCCCCUAGCCACCCUAGCAAACUAGCACAGCCUCGGUGCUCGAGAUCGAUCGAGGCCCCUCCGCCNNNNNNNNNNNNNNNNNNNNNNNNNNNNNNNNNNNNNNNNNNNNNNNNNNNNNNNNNNNNNNNNNNNNNNNNNNCGCCUCCUGCGCCCCUCGACCCACCAAACUGAUCCCCUCAACCCGAGGAAGCUUUCCCCCAACUCGCCCGAGCAUUUCCGUGUGUCUAGCCACCUCCUCGACCACCUCCCAAAAGUCCUCCGCCACGACCUCCCCGUCCCCGGUGAACCCCUACCUCUCCGAUGUUGUUCCGACCACCAGUAGGUAGGCACGUCAUCACGAACCCAUUACAGUGCUUGUUGGGGCCUGAUACCGUCGACAGCCUCGCUGGUGUGCUCCUCCUCCUCUCUAGCCAGACAUAGGAGAUGACCCCGAUAUGUGUGCCUCACAUGUCGGUGGCCCAGUCUCCUCCCCCGCGCUGUCCACAACCACUGACCAUAGGGCUCCGCAUGUGAGGUUCAAACCUGACGGCACGAGCACCUGGGCAGGCUGUCAGCUGGCCUUGGGCCAGCCCAGCUCGAGGCCGAGCCAGGCCAGGGGCUUAGCCCAUUUUUAUUUAUUUUUAAAAAUCUGAUUUCAAUGAUUUUUAUAAAAAUAUUUAGCGAUGGUAAACAUAUAUUUUUUCAACUGUUAUUCUUCUAAAAAUAUGUAGUAUUUAAUAAUAUGAUUGGAUGAUUUUUCUACAACUAUUCUGUGUUACAAUAAUAAAAAGGACUAAAUUGGAAUAGUUUUGCUUCUCUUUGGUUAAUUUUCAAAAUGACAACUUAGAUUUAUCAGUAAUAAAUAACAUUUUUUAAAUUGACUUUGUGAUCUGUUUCUGUAUGAGCUAUUUCUUAUUUGUUGUUUUAUCGACGAUAGAAAAUCCAUGUGACGCGGGAAUCGGAGCGGAAGAUCUCGAAGACCCCGGAUACCUAUCUGACCAAGGCAAUUAGCCCUUUGACCAUGACUGAGCAUAUGUUAAUUUGCAUGUUAAGAUAGCAAGUAUUUUUGUUGCAUAUGAUCAUAAGUGUCGGUAAUCAUUUGAUAUGAUUUUACCGAUUGCUCCCCCGGAGCACUUGCAUUGAGCUUGAUCCUACCCCUUGAGGGUCAUGCUAAUAUCAUGUUGACAAGUAAAGUUAGAAGUAGUAUUAUCAUGAGCAUGUUGACGACAUAAAUCAAAUAUUUUAUGAAAACCCCGUCGGGUGCCACUAAUGCCCGAGGGUUUUGAUGAGUUAGGUGGCCACUUUUGGUGAAGUGGUGCACCAGGUACUUUGAGUGAAUAUGGUUUCGGAAAUGGGAUUAGAUUUAUGAUGUGUCGACCGUACCAACCUUACCAGUACGAACAUGUUAACCCUUAUGGGACGGGGCUAUGUUAAUUACUCUGGUCAUUGCUAGCAAAGAGCCACAUUAUACUAUUGGUGGGAGUGAUGUGUGGUCACUCUCGUGAUGGGGUCGUGCCAGGUAGGAUGACUAAGCCAUUUUUAUGAGUUCCAGUCACACCGUUGGUCCCCGCAUGGUUGGAACUGUCCAGAGUCGGUGCUCGUAAGACGUACAACAUGUGGGCUGGGUACCAAUCGAGUGGACCUCUUUGUCUAGUAUCGCCGGGGGAAAGGCACUAAUCGGGUACUUACCUCGGGUAUGUUAUAUACCGCGAGUCGUGGAUGACACGGAAGUUUCCCGGAUCUCGUGGGUCCAGUGUACUACCUUUAUAGAGUGUAAAACUAUUCAAAUAGCCGUGUCCACGUUCAAGGAUAGUUUGGUAAUCCUGCUUAAACUACGUCCAGCUGUUUCCGCAUAAACCUAGUGUGCGUGUGUUGUGUUAAAAAGGUGUUGUUAUGAAAGUAAUGAUAUGAUCAAGUUUGGUGACUUGGCAUAUAGGGUGAGACCGGAUGGCUCAGCCCUCGGCAGAUAUAUUGAUUUCUGUAACCUGCUCUUCAAAAGUAAUUCUUUAAAUUGAUGCAUAUUCAUGAUCAUUCCACCCCGAUGAAAUCCACCGAAGAUGCAUGAUAUUCUUAUCCUUCACUUUCAUUGUUCAUAUCAUGGGUUGUUUGCGAGUACAUUCAAAGUACUCAUUGGCUUGCCACUUGUUAUGUUAUUGACCAGACAUGGAGGGACCAAAGUUUGGAGAUGAGUAUGUCUUCAGGGACGCCCCUACAAACUAGGACGCUUCCGAGUCAGAAUGACUGUCGGUGUAGGCUUGAUGGCAUGGGCACCCGCUUAUCCCCUAUAAUUUCUGCUACUAGUUGUAUCAGAAUUAUUUGGCCUUAGGCCCGGCCUUGUGAACUUGACCAUUCGGUCAUGUGUUGUAAAAAUCGGUACUUGGAUGAAAGACUCUUUUAUUCGGUAUCUGUGUUCGGUGAGCAUUGAUCUCUAGGAUCACUGAGCACGGCGAUCUCGACCCGUAAGUCGGGGUACCCACACCUUGUUCAUGUCAUGUCUACUAUGUUACUCUAAGUAGGCAGGACCCGCCCCGCGCGUACCUUCCUGCGAUUGAACCGAUCGGAAAACCAAGGACGGCCCAAAGUGGGAAGGGGCUACGAGCGUAGUUAGGCUCCUAAGUCACGAUGCUCACGAGCCCCCCUUGAUGCACGAGCUUCCCUCAUGAUGAGAACGCGGUGAAGAUUUCGAAACUUGGGACAUAUUCAACACUCCGCGUCGACAGGGCCCGCCCCGCGCGUACCUCCCUGCGAUUGAACCGAUCAAAAACGAAGGACGGCCCAAAGGGGGAAGGGGCUACGAGCGCAGUUAGGCCCCUGAGUCGCUAUGCUCAGGGGUACCCCUUGACGUAUGACUAACACCAAUGUUCCUCCUAAGAAGCCGAUAAUUCGAGACUCUCGAACUCCUUCAACACUCUGCGUCGGCAGGGCCCGCCCCACGCGUACCUCCCUGCGGUUGAACCGACCGGAAAGGGCGGCUCAAAAGGGAAAGGGGUUACGGGCAUAGUCCAGGCUCCUGAAUCGCGAUGCUCAGGAGUCCCCCUUGACGUAUGAGUGACUCCAGUGUUCUUCCUAAGGGAUCUGAAGUGAUUUGUCGAGUGCACUAGGCUCUGCUACGGAAGGGCCCACCCCGCGCGUACCUUCUUGCGAUUGAACCGACCAAGGACGACCCAAAGGGGGAAGAGGCUACGGGCAAAGUUAGGCCCUUGAGUCCUGAUGCUCAGGGGUCCCCCUUGACGUGUGAGCGGCUCCAAACCUUUAGCUAUUUGACCCACGUACUGGGCGUGGGUGAAGUCGCGGGUGGACUGUGUUGAUCUCCUUGCCGGCCGAGGGAGUAGCCGCUGACGGGUUGUGUUGGUUCCAGCUGUGGGCACAAUCAUUGGCGUACUGCAUUGGUGCUAGCUAAGGGUGUAGUCAUUGGCGGACUAUGUUGAUUGCCCCUAUGUGUACCUAAUGCGGGGCAUAGGUCUUCCACUAGGCGUGGGGUGGACCCCUCCCUGUCCUCAGGGGGCCCUGGGUGUAUAUAGCCUCGGCUCGUUAUUACGUGAGAGUGUCAUGGUGGGGGUGUACAUGGAGGUCGUGAGGACGCUUUGGCCUCGCGAGUGUCCCUUACCCCCGAGUCAUUGGUGGACUGAGCUUCUUACCAGCACGGAGCAUAGAGCUUCCACUAGGCGUGGGAUGGACCCCUCCGCGUCCUUGGGGUCCUUGGGGGUAUACAGCCUCGGCCUCAUUAUUACGUGAGAGUGUCAUGGUGGGGGUCUACAUGGGGGGUCGCGAGGACGCUACGGCCUCGCAAGUGUCACUACCCCCGAGUUAUUGGUGGACUGAGUUGAUUUUGUUUGGGUCAUUGGAAAGCCUUGGUGAAUUCUUCUUCUUCAGGAGCGAGGCUGCGUAUCUACAUGGACAAGCUUCGACCGGAGCCCCCCAAGCGGGGGGCUGACUUCCCGACAAUAUAAGCAAGGAAGAUCGUUAGGAUUCUCAACGCGUGAAAUUGAACAAUCAAACGAUGCAUACACGAAAGUAGCAUCUAGAGGAGUGUCGUGAGCUCGGGGAGGCCGCAUGGCCCUCGGGGUGCCCUCACACGGGGUGAGCCAAAAUGUUACCUCGCAUCAGCCAACAAAAAGUCACCUGGCGGCCGUGCUGCUGAUGUAUCGAAGGCGCCAUCAUCGCUUGAUCUCUUAUCUCCACGGUCGCGACCCUCACGGGUCCGCUGCCUCCCGUGGAUCGGGGCCUUUGCUUGGCCCGAGCAUCUCCUCCUUUUCCUCGCGGCGCCCCAUAAGCGGGGUACGAGCAUGACCCGCUGCAGCCUCUGGUUGGUGGCAGUUGCGUUCCCUAGCCCGAAGGGCAUGAAGGCAUUGGUGUCCGGGUACUCCCGUCGGUAGCCAGCCAGCUGAUACGUCCAUUUUGCGUCAUGUUUUCAUGUCGAUAUUUAUCGCUUCUUGGGCUGUUAUUUUCACUUCAUGGUACAAUUCUUAUGCCUUUUCUCUCUUAUUUUGCAAGGUUUACAUGAAGAGGGAGAAUGUCAGCAGCUGAGAUUCUAGCCUGAAAGUGGAGCAAGUUUGAGAUACCUAUUCUGCGCAACUCCAAAGGCCGUAAAAAUCAACUAUGAUUUUUUUUGUAUUGAUAAAAAAUAUUGGGCCGAAGAAGCGCCAGAGGGGCGCCAGCAGGUGGCCACAAGCCUGCUAGGCGCGACCACCCCCCUAGCCGCGCCUAGGGGGCUUGUCGGCAGCCUGCUGGCCCACUGGCCCCCCUCUUCUGCUAUAUGAAGGGUUUUGUCCGGAAAAAAAUCGAGGAGGAGAUUUUUCGUGGAUUCGCCACCGCCACGAGGCGGGACUUGAGCAUAACCAAUCUAGAGCUCCGGCACGACGAUCCUGCAAGGAAAACUUCCCUCCCGGAAGGGGAAAUCGUCGCCAUCGUCAUCACCAACACUUCUCUCAUCAGAGGGGACUCAUCACCAUCAACAUCUUCAUCAGCACCAUCUCAUCUCCAAACCCUAGUUCAUCACUUGUAACCAAUCUCCGUCUCGAGACUCCGAUUGGUACUUGUAAGGUUGCUAGUAGUGUUGAUUACUCUUUGUAGUAGAUGCUAGUUGGAUUAUUUGGUGGAAGAGUUUAUGUUAAGAUCCUUGAUGCUACUCAUUACCUCUCUGGUCAUGAAUAUGAUUAUGCUUUGUUAGUAGUUACUUUUGUUCCUCAGGACAUGGGAUAAGUCAUGCUAAUAGUAGUCAUGUGAAUUUGGUAUUCGUUCGGUAAUUUGAUGUGUUGUAUGUUGUUUUUCCUCUAGUGGUGUUAUGUGAAUGUCAACUACAUAACACUUCACCAUUCUUUGGGCCUAGAGGAAGGCAUCGGGAAGUAGUAAGUAGAUGAUGGGUUGCUAGAGUGACAGAAGCUUAAACCAUAGUUUAUGCGUUGCUUCGUAAGGGGCUGAUUUGGAUCCACUAGUUUAAUGAUAUGGUUAGACUUUGUCUUAAUUCUUCUUUCGUAGUUGUGGAUGCUUGCGAGAGGGGUUAAUCAUAAGUGGGAUGCUUGUUGAAGUAAGGGCAGUACCCAAGCGCCGGUUGACCCACAUAUCAAACUAUCAAAGUAACGAACGCGAAUCAUAUGAACAUGAUGAAAACUAGCAUGACAGAUAUUCCCGUGUGUCCUCAGGAGCGUUUUUCCUCCUAUAAGACUUUGUCCAGGCUUGUCCCUUUCUACAAAAGGGAUUGGGCCACUUUGCUGCACUUUUGCUACUUUUGUUACUUGUUGCUUGCUAUGAAUCAUCUCACCACACAAUCACUUGAUACCGAUAAUUUUAGUGCUUGCAGAUAUUUCCUUGCUGAAAACCACUUGUCAGAUCCUUCUACUCCUCGUUGGGUUCGACAAUCUUACUUAUCGAAAUGACUACGGUUUAUCCCCUAUACUUGUGGGUCAUCAAGACUCUUUUCUGGCGCCGUUGCCGGGGAGUGAAGCGCCUUUAGUAAGUGGAACUUGCUAAGGAAACAUUCAUAUAGUGUGCUGAAAUUUAUUGUCACUUGUCACUAUGGAUACUAAUCCUUUGAGGGGCUUGUUCAGGGUAUCUUCACCUUGAAAGGAAGCACAAAUAGUUGCUCCUCAACCUGCUGCACCUAGUGAAAAUAUUUUCUUUGAAUUUCCUUCGGGUAUGCUUGAGAAACUGCUGGCUAAUCCUUUUACAGGAGAUGGAACAUCACAUCCAGACUUGCAUCUGAUCUAUGUAGGUGAAGUUUGUGGUUUAUUUAAGCUUGCAGGUUUGCCCGAGGAUGAGGUCUUUCCUUUAUCUUUGAAGGAUAAGGCGUUGACAUGGUAUAGGCUAUAUGAUGAUACUGGAUCAUGGGACUACAAUCGGUUGAAAUUGGAAUUUCAUCAAAAGUUUUAUCCUAUGCAUUUAGUACAUCGUGAUCGGAAUUAUAUUUAGAAUUUUUGGCCUCGUGAUAGAGAAAGCAUCACUCAAGCUUGGGGGAGGCUUAAAUUAAUGUUAUAUUCAUGCCCCAAUCAUGAGCUCUCGAGAGAAAUUAUCAUUCAAAACUUUUAUGCUCGGCUUUCUAAUGAUGAUCGCACCAUGCUUGAUACUUCUUGUUCCGGUUCUUUUACGAAGAGAGAUAUUGACUUCAAAUGGAAUUUAUUGGAGAGAAUUAAAUGCAACUCUGAAGAUUGGGAGAUAUCAUAUUUGCAUCAACCUGGCUCUGAUACCACUAUUCGGGAACGUCGCAUGGGAAACAAAAAAUUUCCUACACACACGCAAUACCUAUCCAUGGUGAUGAUCAUCUACGAGAGGGGAGAGUGAAUCUACAUACCCUUAUAGAUCGCUAAGAGAAAGUGUAUAUAAUGCGGUUGAUGUAGUGGAACACCUUCGCGAUUGAAAUCGCAGCCUGUCCCGUGAUCUUAUCACGAUCCAUCCCACGAUCCCAUCACGAUCCAUCUCGAUCUAGUGCCGAACGGACGACACCUCCGCGUCCAGCACACGUACAACUCAAUGACGACCCCGCCUUCUCGAUCCAGCAAGAAAGACGAGGAAGUAGAUGAGUUCUCCAGCAGCAUAACAGCGCACCGGUGAUGGUGGUGAUCUAUUCCUGCAAGGCUUCGCCUAAGCACCGCAGAAAUCCGAUCUAGAGGAAGAACUACAAACUAGAGGAGAGGGUAGCACGUGGCAGGAAUUACGUGUCAAAAAACCUCAAACCACUAGUAUAUAUAGGAGGGAGGAGGCAGUCUUGCCCACCAAGGGAAAGCCCUUGGUGUCGGCUGAACCAUAGGAGGGAGGAGUCCUCCUCCAAUCAUACUUGGAUUAGGACUACUUUGCAAAUUGUCCACCUCUUUUGGAUUUUCCACCUUUUUCCAUAUGGGCUUACUUUGGUUGACUAGACCGCCCACUAAGAGCUACUGCGCCACCAUCAAGUCCACGUGGCCCUCUUGGGGAGUGGUGGGCCCACCUGGUGGACCCCCGGUACCCAUUCGUCACUCCUGGUACACUACCGGCAAUGCCCGAAAUCCUUCCAGAAUCCAAAUACCAACUUCCUAUAUAUCAAUCUUCAUUUUUGGACCAUUCCGGAAACCCUCAUGACGUCUGGGAUCUCAUUUGGGAAUCCGAACAAAACUUUGGUCACCAGCACCUAUAACUCAACCAUACCGAAACAUCACCAAACCUUAAGUGUGCAGACCAUGCGGGUUCGAGAACUAUGCACACAUGACCUGAGAAACUCCCCGGUCAAUAUCCAAUAGUGGGACAUGGAUGUCCAUAUUGGAUCCUACAUAUUCUAUGAAGAUCUUAUCUUUUGAACCUCUAUGCCAAGGAUUCAUAUAAUCUCGUAUACCAUUCCCUUUGUCCUUCGGUAUGUUACUUACCCGAGAUUUGAUCAUCGGUAUCUCUAUACCUAUUUCAAUCUCGUUACCGGAAAGUCUGUUUACCCGUUUUGUAAUACAACAUCACGUGACUAACUCUUUAUUCACAUUGCUUGCAAGGCUUAUUGUGAUGUUGUAUUACGGAGUGGGCCCCGAGACACCUGUCCAUCACAUGGAGUGAUAAAUUCCAGUCUUGAUCCAUCCCAACCCAACAGACACCUUUGAAGAUACCUGUAGAGCACCUUUAUAGUCACCUAGUUACGUUGCGACAUUUGGUACACACAAGGUAUUCCUCUGGUCUCCGGGAGUUGCAUGAUCUCGUGGUCAUAGGAAUAGAUACAUUGGCAUGCAGAAAACAGUAGCAAUAAACUGACACGAUGAUAUGCUACGUUUAUGGUCAGGGUCUUGUCCAUCACAUCUUAUCCUAAUGAUGUGAUCUCAUUAUCAAGUCACAACACUUGUCUAUGGCCAGGAAACCUUGACUAUCUUUGAUCAACGACCUAGUCAACUAGAGGCUCACUUGGGACAGAGUAUUGUCUAUGUAUCCACACAUGUAUUUGAGUUUCAAGUCAAUACAAUUCUAGCAUGGAUAAUAAACGAUUAUCAUGAAUAAGCUAAUUUAUUAUUACCUCUAGGGAAUAGUCCCAACAAUUUCCAUCAACUAUAUAUUGAUAUAUAGAUUCUAAAGAAUUAUGUAAUCGGAAGUCUACAAUUGUUGACAUACAUUUCUCAACUAGAUUGCAAAACCUUUCAUAUGAUUGAGGUCCAAAGACCAUGGCCAUGGCAAAGUGUGAACAACACUCGGAUUGAAUUCAAGCAAAGGGUAUAAUCUAGGUAGAAAUGAUCUUGCUCAGUAAUGGAAAGGUAUUCAUAAGCAAUACCUACACCAGUUUUCUUCUAGAAGUCGAAUUUAGAAUAAUCUGGUGGUGAAACAAAGAGCAAGUAUUGUAGCACAAGGGUUCACGCAGAUACCCAACUAUUCUCUAGAUGUGGAAUCUCUUUCUCAUAACUUAUAUCAUUGGCAGUACAAAAUCAUGUAUCUCUUUAGUUGAUAGAUGUAGUAAUCACAUAUAAAUGUGGAUCACUAGAUUUAGACAUAUAUGAUUGAUUCCCGAUGGAAUCUCACUUCUGAAUCGAAAUGCAAAAUGCAACAUACAUUAUGUAAAAAUCAGUAAGUCACCAUACGACUUAUUGUUGUCGGUACAUAUGGUACAACCGACAUAGUGAAUUCCUUAUGCAUAAUUAUUACUCCUACAAUGACGAUUAUCCAUGUUUGUGUGUCUACAAUGACGACACAUUUAAUCAUCUAAAUGUCAGAGUUUAAAAUGAAGGAUUGUGGUAAAUCUAAAUACCGCUGGUUAUUCUAACUUGAGCACCUUCAUUCAUACAUUAUGUUAUACUAUGUUGUCUAUAUACAAAAUAUAUUGGAUAAAUUCAUUGUGGACAAAUAUUAUCCAUCCAUAGCUCUCAUGGUAGUUCAUUCUCUAGAUGUAGAGAAAGAUCUAUUUAGGCCAAGAGACGAUGGAAAUGAAAUAUUGGGACUCAACAUUCCAUAAUGCCAUUGGAUCGACAAAACACAAUUGGUUGUGACUCAAGAAUAUAUAUCCGUAUCUCCAAAGGCAUCGAACAUAUUGUCCUGGUUUUUCAAGUUUCACAGAAAUCUGAACACUAAUACCAUUGGAUACAUUGAUCAGAUCCCUGCUAUGUCAGAUCAUAGAGAAGUUUAGUGUUCCUACUAGGUGUGGUAGCCCUCCCAUGAAGAGUUUUCAAAGAGACCUCGUGGCUACAUCCAGCAACCAUAAUCUAGACGAUAAUGUUUCUUGUGUUUCCCGGAUGCAAAUAGGUUAUGCAAUAAGCAACAUCGCUAUAUGCAUAUCUUGCAAAUCAGAUCAUGUGACCGGUUUCUCACGAAGUCUCUAUCAACUUUUACAUUCCAUAAAUAUGUUAUUGGAAUAGGUACAUGACGGCUUCGAAAUUUGCAAGAAACAGGGGAAGUAUCUUCCUGAAUUAUUCAUGUUCUAUGCAUCAUAUUAUACUCUUUUUUCCUUCAUGAUUUUGCUAUAUAGGUUCUCAUAAAGGUUUUUAAUGAGGUAAUAUCAACAUGAGAUCAGAUAUCCUACUUUUUGUUUUCCACAGGGAUUUUAAGGAAGUAUGUACGAUGUAUUUAUUGUACUCUAAACUCUAUGAGUCUCCUUGUAUUGAGUUAAAAGAGACAAUAACCAUUAUAUGUUGCAUCAUUUUCUCCUUAUUUUCCCAGUGGCUUUACAUAAGUUUUAGCAACAUAUCAAACACAUAUAUCCUUAUUUUCCCACAGGGUUUUGUAGGUGUUUUCAAGAUGACAAGGCUUACACUAACAAGCAUGGAUUAGGGGGAGUGUUAGGAUUUAAUAAAUCCUAUUAAUCCCUACUUUUUCUAACCGGGGCGGUUGCCUCAUGUCCAUUCGGACGCACCCCUUCAGGGGCUAUAUAUAUGUGUAAUCCAUCAUCAAUGAGAACAACGAUUCAUUUUACAUCUUUUGUCUUGUCUCUCGUUUCCUACUCUAAACAAUUUCGGUCCUAUCAGGUUGGGUUGCGUGUUGGCUAUAAAUAGCCCAUCCCCUUCACCAUAGUUUUGUGGCUGCUCAGAGUUUGAUACGUCUGUUGUCAUUUUGGAGAAACCCACCUCAAAGGCAGUGAGAGAAAACAAUCCUGCGAGGAUAAACCCAAACAAGUAGAGCUAGUGUGUUUGAGCAUCACCGAAGUUGUUUUGUUCUGAGUGAACUGAAGACGUAUUACACUUGAAGACUGUGAUAUUUCAGACGGUUAGGCAUCUGGGUCUGUAGCAUUCAAGAGUCAUUGUGGAUUCUCGGGUGACCAAAUUUGUACGGAUUUCAGAAGUCUCCCCCAAAGACUUACUUGAGUGAUUGGACGUGGUCUAAGUGACCUCGGCUCAAGGGGAACAAGGUGAAUACGAGGUCUUCGGAGUUAUUUCUCAGCCUCUCGGACAAGACGUACAGUUGUCACAACAACUAGAACUCGUCCAACAAAUCUUGUGUCUUUAUCAAGCUACCGGUUCUAUCUUUCACUCUUUUACCUAACUGUGUGAACACAUACCACGAAAGACAUUCAUACCUGCCGUUUAUCAUCAUAUUGUCUGAAUUUAUCUAUGAUUUAUCUUAGUGUGUACGAUGACUAUGCUUAACAUCUUAGAUCCUUGACUGUUAUCUCUACUUGAUCCUAUUUCGCUUCUACAUACUUUGAAUACAUUCAUUCUUUCGAAGCACUUCAUAGAAAUUGCCUAUUUUAAACCCCCCUCUAGUCGAUAACUAGCAAUUUCAUUUGAAAACCCACCCUCAACCAUAGGACUGAACACCUUGUUGGGGAAGGAUCUGAAGUUCAUUUAUUCCAUUUUUUGAAAACCCUCAUAUAUUAAUUUGAUAAAACAACAUUCUUACAAUCCUUCAUUAUUCCAAUGACUUGAGCGAGGUGAGCCACCUUCUCCUUCUUGCUGAAUUCGCACCAAAUGUGUGAGAUUUGCACUAUUACUGCUUUUGUCCUUUCAAAUUUCAAUGUUGUUCUUUCUGAAUAGGUACCAGUAUUAAUCAAAUCACUAUUGCCCUGAUUGAGGAGCUAGCCACUCAGGGAAAACAAAUUUUCAAAAUAUCGGACGAAUUAUUCAAAAUGAUUGUUUUCGCUGAGCACUACAAAACAUAAUCUCAUUCGAAAAUUUAAAACGAAUUAAAAAAAUCCUCUAAUUAAGAGGAGAAAAGUAAAUCAUAUGAUACAUUUUUCUUAUGCCCUCCAAACAAAUUGUCAGGUAUAGGCAUGCACUCUUGUACCACUAGGAGCAUAAUAGAGAUACAAGAAACAAUUUGUUGGUUGGUGAAAAUAACCAAAUAGGAAGGAGUUGCGGCACUAAGAAAACCUGGAACAAUUGAAGCUUACAGUUAUAUAAUAUAAUAUUCUUUUGCGUCGAGAAAGUUCACUCACAUCAUAAGAUUCUGAGAAUUCAUUUGGCUUACUAUACAUCGGCCACAAGUUACGCCACGAGAGAAGAGACCAAUUGAGCUGAGAGAGAAAUUUUUUUUUCUAACCUACUCAUAUUAGAGACUAAUCAUCCUCUCGUACAUACAUAUUACGAUCAUUCCUCUACAGCCCAGCCCAUGUCAUGUUAUUCAAACACAUAGAAUACUAACAGGUAAUUUCUGAUCCUUUUAUAGAACGACGGGAUUAUGCAUGCAUAACCCAGGUCCUGUUGUUUUGUAACACAUGCAUGCAUGCAUGGUACCAUCGAACAAUCACUUCUUAUAUUCAAAUGGUUUUCAACAGAAAAAUAUUGGCGGUCCUCCAUGAUGCAUUGCUAUGUCAGAACUAGAUCAGUAGAAAUUUAUUGUACAUGACCCAGUUUAUGCAUUCCUCGUAACAAUUACGUGUACCAUCGAAAAUAAAACUUUCUAGCCAAUCAGUUAGCACCCAUAUGUGUUUGGGUAAAAAUAAGUGGUAAUGGGUACCGCGCACACAGAUCGACAUGGAUGUCACUUACAACGUGCGGUUGUCCAUGUAUGUCUCAUGGCCACACUUUCUUCUCCUAGGAAUGCUAUUUAACCGGAAAAUGGCUAGCACAACAUCCAUAAACGAUCAUCUCCUCAUCAACAACCUCCUUCUAAACCCUUCAUACCCUGUGGAAGUAAUCGCAAGGUCCAGAAUGGCGGUGAAUACUAAGAACACAAUUGGUGUGGUUCUCCUCCUGGUCGUGAUGGUAGCGGCGGUAUCAACACCAGUGGCAACUGCCGAAGAGUUCUGUUGGGACAAAUGUAUCAAGCGUUGCAAGGGAGAACUAGAGGUUUGCAGCCCAAAGUGCAUUCAUUUUUGCAACUAUCAAUCCGGAGCCGUAGGAUAUGUUAAGUGGGCUGCCGAUAAACUGAAGGAGGCCGCUGCUGCCCCGCCCCAAAAGGCCGUCCUCCUCAAGAAUGAAGCUCAAACGUACUUAGAACGUGCCAAUGCCCUCAACGAGAAAGCCGGGACCCCGUGAGUGUGCACCCUUCCGUCUAUAGGUGUCGCUGUUGUUAUGGUGUCGAUAAAUGUUUUGUUUAUUUAAAUUGUUGUGGUUCCAUCCCAUUUUUUUGUUUCUUUGUUAAAGUAAUAUCUUUUGUAUUAUGAUGACAAGCUUGUUCCAGUGAGUCAGUUUCUCUUGUCGACUUUACUUAUGUAUAAUGAUUUUCAUUUGAUUUGGCUAUGUAAUAAUGAAGUUCCUUCGUAUGGAAAUGUUCCUUUUUAAUGCCCAC